rnacentral:rRNA from 1 species
UACGUAGGGUCCGAGCGUUGUCCGGAAUUAUUGGGCGUAAAGGGCUCGUAGGCGGUCCGUCACGUCGGGAGUGAAAACUCAGGGCUUAACCCUGAGCUUGCAGUGGGUACGGGCAGACUAGAGUGCGGUAGGGGAGACUGGAAUUCCUGGUGUAGCGGUGAAAUGCGCAGAUAUCAGGAGGAACACCGGUGGCGAAGGCGGGUCUCUGGGCCGUAACUGACGCUGAGGAGCGAAAGCAUGGGGAGCGAACAGG